CCUACGGGGGGCAGCAGCAGGGAAUCUUGCGCAAUGGGCGAAAGCCUGACGCAGCAACGCCGCGUGGGGGAUGACGGCCUUCGGGUUGUAAACCCCUUUCAGGAGGGAAGAAAAUGACGGUACCUCCAGAAGAAGCCCCGGCCAACUACGUGCCAGCAGCCGCGGUAAUACGUAGGGGGCGAGCGUUGUCCGGAAUUAUUGGGCGUAAAGAGCUCGUAGGCGGCUCAGCAAGUCGGCUGUGAAAUCCCGAGGCUCAACCUCGGAACUGCAGUCGAUACUGCUGUGGCUAGAGUCUGGUAGAGGAGAAUGGAAUUCCCGGUGUAGCGGUGAAAUGCGCAGAUAUCGGGAGGAACACCAGUAGCGAAGGCGGUUCUCUGGGCCAGUACUGACGCUGAGGAGCGAAAGCGUGGGGAGCAAACAGGAUUAGAUACCCUUGUAGU
rnacentral:rRNA from 1 species